rnacentral:rRNA from 1 species
GAAUCUUCCGCAAUGGGCGAAAGCCUGACGGAGCGACACCGCGUGUAGGAUGAAGGCCCUCGGGUUGUAAACUACUGUCACGCUAUAGGAACCGCGUCUGCCCAAUAAGUAGACGUCUGACUAAAGCGAGAGGAAGUACCGGCUAACUCCGUGCCAGCAGCCGCGGUAAUACGGAGGGUACGAACGUUGCUCGGAAUCACUGGGCAUAAAGCGCGCGUAGGCGGUCCACCCAGUCAGAUGUGAAAGCCCUCGGCUCAACCGGGGAACUGCAUUUGAUACUAGUGGGCUUGAGGAUGGUAGGGGUGUGUGGAACUUCAGGUGGAACGGUGAAAUGUAUUGAUAUCUGAAGGAACACCUGUGGCGAAAGCGGCACACUGGGCCAUUUCUGAC